rnacentral:rRNA from 1 species
UACGGAGGGAGCUAGCGUUAUUCGGAAUUACUGGGCGUAAAGCGCACGUAGCGGCUUUGUAAGUUAGAGGUGAAAGCCUGGAGCUCAACUCCAGAAUUGCCUUUAAGACUGCAUCGCUUGAAUCCAGGAGAGGUGAGUGGAAUUCCGAGUGUAGAGGUGAAAUUCGUAGAUAUUCGGAAGAACACCAGUGGCGAAGGCGGCUCACUGGGACUGGUAUUGACGCUGAGGUGCGAAAGCGU